rnacentral:tRNA from 1 species
GCCGAGAUGGCGAAACUGGUAGACGCACCAGACUCAAAAUCUGGCGGUGGUGACACCGUGCCGGUUCGAUUCCGGCUCUCGGUACCA